UUUAAUUAAUUAUACACAUAUCUCUAAUGAGUUAUAAAAGGACAUGUAUUUUCAGGUAACAUUUGCACGAGGACGUUACGAAGACUUAUAGCGUGAACAGCAAAUCUUACACAAUGGGAAAGUUGGCUGUGAUAGGGAUUCUGACUGUAUUUAUAGUUUACAUUGUUGCAGGAAGCAUAAGGAACGAGGAGCCAAAAAAUGAGCCAAACGAUAAUACAAUUGAUUGUUCAAUUGAUGAUAGUAAAGAAGAAUGUGAAAAUGAAGAUGUUGUAAAAUCAGAACGACCUGAAGGUGUGGAAUUUAAAUAACCCAGUGAUACGGGUGGGAUAGUGAUAGUGACGAAUAACAUUCAACUGUUACAUUGAUUUUUUUAAAUAAAAUAAAACAUAACUUAA